rnacentral:sRNA from 1 species
CUUGGUCAUUUAGAGGAAGUAAAAGUCGUAACAAGGUUUCCGUAGGUGAACCUGCGGAAGGAUCAUUCACAAACGAGUGUUUUAUGGCACUCUUUAAAAAUCCAUAUCCACCUUGUGUGCAAUGUUUGUUGGGAAAGUCUUUUCUUUCCCUUCAUAAAUAUCAACCUAUAUCUUUAACAACAUUCGUCUGAUAACAUAUUAUGAAUAUACUUAAUUCAAAAUAUAACUUUCAACAACGGAUCUCUUGGCUCUCGCAUCGAUGAAGAACGCAGCGAAAUGCGAUACGUAAUGUGAAUUGCAGAAUUCAGUGAAUCAUCGAAUCUUUGAACGCAUAUUGCGCUCUUUGGUAUUCCGAAGAGCAUGCUUGUUUGAGUAUCAGUAAACACCUCAACCUCUCUUUUUUGAUAAAAAAAAGGGAGGGUGGACUUGAGCUAUCCCAACGACCUUCACCGGUAGGCGGGCGGCUUGAAAUGCAGGUGCAGCUGGACUUUUAUCUGAGCUAAAAGCAUAUCUAUUUAGUCCUCGUCAAACAGGAUUAUUACUUUUGCUGCAGCUAACAUAAAGGAUAAUUGUCCUCUUUGCUGACUGAUGCAGGAUUUUACGACACUUUAUGUGUUGUUCAACUCGAUCUCAAAUCAAGUAAGACUACCCGCUGAACUUAAGCAUAUCAAUAAGCGGAGGAAAAGAAACUAACAAGGAUUCCCCUAGUAACGGCGAGUGAAGCGGGAUGAGCUCAAACUUGAAAUCUGGCUGGUUUACUAGUCCGAGUUGUAAUUUAAAGAAGCGUUUUCGGUGGCAGCCUGGGUAUAAAUCCUUUGGAAUAGGGUAUCAUAGAGGGUGAGAAUCCCGUCUUUGACCUAGUGCAUGCUACUAUGUGAUACGUUUUCAAAGAGUCGAGUUGUUUGGGAAU